CUCUGAUGAUUCCCCAUGAAAUGUGGUUCAACCUCCCUUUAAAACAUAACUUCAACAUCUAUGUGAAAAGCUAUGCCACAAUGGGGGUCUUCUGUGUUCCUUCCUAUCAAUGAGCAGCCACCAAAAAAAAUGAGUAUUUUGCAGAGAAAUUCCUCGCUGAGCCAGCAGAGAACAAAGGAUUGUCUGUGGUGGGUAUUCGCAGGUUGUAGCUCCAGAAACUUGCAGCCUUCCUUGAUUGCCAGUGUAAUGUGACCUUUAUGAAAAGUCAGGGGUGAGGCUGGCUAAAUCAACAGGAAAAAAACACCCAUUUUGUUCCUGAAGUAACAGUUGAGAUUGAGGUUUGACAUCGAUUUAUCUCCAACCCAGAGCUUUAGGUCAAACAGAGAUCGGUUCCACUUCUGAUUUCCAGUCAACUUUUAACCGUCACACAUAGCAAUCUUCCCAUGGUGACAGUGCAUUUUCUAAGGAGGAGUCCAACAUUCUCUGUGCACGUUUCCAUUCACCCCACUGGAUACACGUGUGUACGGGGCACAUGCCUCAGGGGGCACUGCUGCUUCUUGUGCAAUGGUCAGAGUACUUGGGCUCAUGUUCUUGCACACAUUUUGCAGAGAGUGGAUUGCAGAAGCUUUGGUCUGUGUGUGAGCAGCAGCCAACUUGUUGAGUGCACUGUGAUUUGAUUCAGACAGGAGCCAGACACAUCCUUCCAACUUUGCUCUGGCUUUAAUUCUUGGCAUAAUUUCACGGCUUCUGUCAAGUCCCCAGAGAAUUAACUUUAUGGGAAGCCAAUGAAAUUACCAGAUCACGUUUCAGCCUGCUCUAUUGAUAGUCCUCUGCUGCCCUGCACCUGUAGCAGCGUACUAACAUUUUGAGGAAACAGCUAUUUGAUGCAACUCUACCUUAUACAAAAAUUCUGUAGGAGCUAUAACACAAAAUAUUGAGGCCAACAGAUAAGCAUAAUUGUGGCACAUUCAGCAUUACUUGGUAGAGAGGAAUUUUUGUUUAUUGAUUUAUUGCUAUCCAUGGGAACAGCAUUUCCCGGCAUCAGUAGUACCCUGAGCAGUUAUUUCAGUGUAAAAUACUGGCAGGGCAGAGCUUUCCCAGCUGUGUCUCCGGGCAGAAGAGACUGGCUUGCUCCUUCACCAGCUUCCUGCACCUCCUUGGCCAUGCAAUCUGCAAGAUGAUUCAGCACGGGAUCUGUGAGAUGGUGGGAGUGAGAUGGGAUGCUACCACAGAAGGGGGCCCGCCAGGGAUAACCAGUGCCUGGGUGCUUAAAGAGAAAAAUUCAAAAAUUCUACCUGAGUUCAGGAACUUGAAAUUGGGAACUUCAGAAAUGUGCCUCAUUUUGAAGAGUGAUGAUAAGUCAAGCAGGAUUUGUACAGACACCAUGAGAGCAAUAUGCUCUUACAGGAUCUCACGGAGCUGUGCCUGAAGCCCAGGGAUGUGCAUGCACCAACUUCACCUGUGCAUGCUGCGAGGGUUACCCUGUCAGUAGAAAAGCUUCCUACAACCCAUGGCUGAAACUGGCAACAAAUACUGCAUCAGCACUCCUGAUGAGCUCAGCUCUUCUCGUACCAUUUCACAGAACUAAGCAGGGGCUAUUCUGCAAUGGGAGCUGAUGGAAACUUAUCAAAGCAGGACCCAAAAACUCCAAUGGCUCAAAGCAACACAUGGGUGAGCCAAGUGAGAAGCCAGACCAGAUAAACAAAGGGAAAAAACAAUGUGGUUUAUCACCAUUUGCUUCACAUCCAGUGCUAUCCACAACCAGCAACUACCACUACCAGCCCAUUGACAGUGGCCAAGGCUAUGCCACGAUGCCUGGGCAGCAGGGCCCUGAGCUGCUACUAUGCCAUUUAGAAAUGCUCUAUUUUCCCAAUAAUAUUCUCUUUACUCCCUUAACUGGCAGCCCCGAUCUGCCAGAUCAUUAAUGAGAAACUAACGAAGAGUGUCAGGCUAAUAGAGAAGCAGUAAUGAAGAUUAAUCUCACCCCAGAGAGCAUAACAGGCCUUUUUGGAGACUUAGUGCACCACAACAGCAUUUGGAGGGUCAAAAAUAGGGCAAUAAAUGUUAAUUAAUAGCAAACUUCUCUUUUGCUCUUAAUUAUGAGUGGUACCUAGGGAUUUCAAAUAAGCCUCUCACUCCAUUCUAGCUACUGCUUUCCCAAGCCAGGACAAAAAUAUGAUGGCAAAUGUGAGCACAAGUCUCUCAAAGCGAACCAACAGAGCCAGAGAGACUAGGACUGCCUAGGCUUUAUUCCCUGGUAGCAACUACACGUCUUUGUUUCUGAAGAUGAGUUGGAUGAACUUCUAUAUGUACCUGGAGUGAGGUAAGACCUUAAAUGAGCAACUCCUGCACCUUGGGCCAGACCAGGUUCCUCUCUCUAUAACAAGCUCCUGGCACUCUCUGGGAGCCUUCGGAAUUAAUUCUCCCAUGGUGCAAAUCCUCACUGCAUCUCUUCUUGACAAAGGAUGCUGCAGAUGGUAGAAAUGUAUAUAAGGCUGCUGCGUGCACAGAUGUUACUACUGACCCAGAGAGUUCCUGAAGGCUGAAGCAGCAUGGCAAGACCAUGCAUCACCACAGAGCCUUGCUAUUUGGGAAUGUGACUGAGUUCCCAAGCCUGCUGCUCACUUCCCUUGUAGCCUUUUGUCACUUCACCCCUUCACCUCAAUUCCUCAUCCACCACAUGAAGGCACUUUGGUGGCUGAGAUCAAAGUAUCCCACAUAAUGCUACCACCUCUGGUGCUUGUUUGACCAUACUACCUCAUGCAACUGCCUUCAAGACAUAACUGUGGCAACAGCCUUCACAUACAUUUAAUGAGGAUGCUACCACUCUUCCUUCAUCUUCCCUAUGUAAAUCCAUAGGGAGAAAAAAAAAAGGCAAAAAAUACCCCUAGACCAUUCCUAUCAUUAUAGGGAAAAAGCACCAAGUUUUGCUGCUCUAGGUGAUCCAUAAAGCAGUAAGCAAUUAGGAUUCCUGCCUUGCCUGGCUGGAGCCCAAAUGGAAGCAAACCCUCUGCAGGCGGGACAGUCCUUCCAGCUCCGCAGUCCCACAGAGGGGAAACGUACCGAGUCUAAAGAAAAUCAAUGACUUUGCAUAUGCUGUAUUCAGAGAGGUGUCUGGCAAAGAAAUUGCCCUACUUACC